rnacentral:rRNA from 1 species
UGGGCGGAUUAGUGGCGAACGGGUGAGUAAUACGUGAGUAACCUGCCCUUGACUCUGGGAUAAGCCUGGGAAACUGGGUCUAAUACUGGAUACUACCGCUCACCGCAUGGUGGGUGGUGGAAAGGGUUCUACUGGUUUUGGAUGGGCUCACGGCCUAUCAGCUUGUUGGUGGGGUAAUGGCUCACCAAGGCGACGACGGGUAGCCGGCCUGAGAGGGUGACCGGCCACACUGGGACUGAGACACGGCCCAGACUCCUACGGGAGGCAGCAGUGGGGAAUAUUGCACAAUGGGCGGAAGCCUGAUGCAGCGACGCCGCGUGAGGGAUGACGGCCUUCGGGUUGUAAACCUCUUUCAGUAGGGAAGAAGCGAGAGUGACGGUACCUGCAGAAGAAGCGCCGGCUAACUACGUGCCAGCAGCCGCGGUAAUACGUAGGGCGCAAGCGUUGUCCGGAAUUAUUGGGCGUAAAGAGCUCGUAGGCGGUUUGUCGCGUCUGCUGUGAAAGCCCGGGGCUCAACCCCGGGUCUGCAGUGGGUACGGGCAGACUAGAGUGCAGUAGGGGAGACUGGAAUUCCUGGUGUAGCGGUGAAAUGCGCAGAUAUCAGGAGGAACACCGAUGGCGAAGGCAGGUCUCUGGGCUGUUACUGACGCUGAGGAGCGAAAGCAUGGGGAGCGAACAGGAUUAGAUACCCUGGUAGUCCAUGCCGUAAACGUUGGGCACUAGGUGUGGGGGACAUUCCACGUUUUCCGCGCCGUAGCUAACGCAUUAAGUGCCCCGCCUGGGGAGUACGGCCGCAAGGCUAAAACUCAAAGGAAUUGACGGGGGCCCGCACAAGCGGCGGAGCAUGCGGAUUAAUUCGAUGCAACGCGAAGAACCUUACCAAGGCUUGACAUUCACCGGACCGCCCCAGAGAUGGGGUUUCCCUUCGGGGUCGGUGGACAGGUGGUGCAUGGUUGUCGUCAGCUCGUGUCGUGAGAUGUUGGGUUAAGUCCCGCAACGAGCGCAACCCUCGUUCUAUGUUGCCAGCACGUGAUGGUGGGGACUCAUAGGAGACUGCCGGGGUCAACUCGGAGGAAGGUGGGGAUGACGUCAAAUCAUCAUGCCCCUUAUGUCUUGGGCUUCACGCAUGCUACAAUGGCCGGUACAAAGGGUUGCGAUACUGUGAGGUGGAGCUAAUCCCAAAAAGCCGGUCUCAGUUCGGAUUGAGGUCUGCAACUCGACCUCAUGAAGUCGGAGUCGCUAGUAAUCGCAGAUCAGCAACGCUGCGGUGAAUACGUUCCCGGGCCUUGUACACACCGCCCGUCAAGUCACGAAAGUUGGUAACACCCGAAGCCGGUGGCCUAACCCCU